CACUUGAUAAAAGGCUGACUGAACAUAAAAGAGACAUAAGUAGAGGAAAGACGUCUAUGGCUCUAGCAGCGCAUGCAUUGGAGUAUAACAUGCAAGUCAACUGGGAUGAAACGAAAAUACUAAGAACCUUAGAGAGAGAAGAGCAUGCACUGCUAGCUGAGGUUAUGGAAAUAUACGUGAGCGACAACAAAAAGAAUUUAGUGAACAUUAACCAACCAGCCUGUGAAUUAUCGGCUGCCUGGAAAUAUCUUUUAACUAAAAAUAAUACUGGAGAGGACUAAGAAAUGCUCUUUAAAGAAAUACG
rnacentral:lncRNA from 1 species